AUGUUCCUCCUGCGGGUGAUGGGUCCACAGUUGGAUGAGCCCAUGUAUCCGAUUCGGGCUGGGCCCGGCCGGGCCCCAUGGGCGAAAGCCCGGCCACCAGGCGCUCGCUCACGGGCCCCAACCCCAGGCCUGACUCCAGGGUGGGACCCCGGUAACCCUCUGGGCCGGGUACUCCGACUCUUUGAAUUUACUUCCAUGAAAGAUCAUGUGAACCGUUCUUUGUCUCACCCUUCACCUAAGACCAGUUUGUCAUGGGAGACACUAUCAGGGGCACAACGUGCCCCAGACAACAUAGCUCCUAGGAUCAUUAGGGCACUCAAACUCCUCCACCACGAUAAGGUGAUGGUUCAAGGGGGAGCCGAGUGUGAAGCGGCUGGGAUGAGGAUCAGCACCUCCAAAUCUGAGGCCAUGGUUCUCGACCGGAAAAGGGUGACUUGCCAACUCCGGGUCGGGGGAGAGGUCCUACCUCAAGUGGAGGAGUUUAAGUAUCCCGGGGUCUUGUUCACGAGUGAGGGUAGGAGGGAUCGGGAGAUUGACAGGCAGAUUGGUUCAGCAUCUGCAGUGAUGCGGGCGCUGAGCCGAUCUGUCGUGGUGAAGAGGGAGCUGAGCCAGAAAGCCAGGCUCUCGAUUUACCGGUCGAUCUACGUCCCAAUCCUCACCUAUGGUCAUGAGCUUUGGGUAAUGACCGAAAGAACGAGAUCGCGGAUACAAGCGGCCGAAAUGAGUUUCCUCCGUAGGGUGGCCGGGCUCAGCCUUAGAGAUAGGGUGAGGAGCUCGGACAUUCGGGAGGGACUCGGAGUAGAACCGCUGCUCCUCCGGAUCGAAAGGAGUCAGUUGAGGUGGUUUGGGCAUCUGGUCAGGAUGCCUCCUGGACGCCUCCCUGGGGAGGUGUUUCGGGCAUGUCCUGCUGGCAGGAGGCCCCCGGGUCGACCCAGGACACGUUGGAGAGGUUACAUCUCCAAUCUGGUCCGGGAACGCCUUGGGGUCCUGCCGGAGGAGCUGGUGGAC
rnacentral:lncRNA from 1 species